rnacentral:misc_RNA from 1 species
GAGAAGAACGCAGCAAAAUGCGAUAAGUAAUGUGAAUUGCAGAAUUCAGUGAAUCAUCGAAUCUUUGAACGCACAUUGCGCCCGCCAGAAUACUGGCGGGCAUGCCUGUUCGAGCGUCAUUUCAACCCUCAAGCACAGCUUGGUGUUGGGACUCGCGUUAAUUCGCGUUCCUCAAAUUGAUUGGCGGUCACGUCGAGCUUCCAUAGCGUAGUAGUAAAACCCUCGUUACUGGUAAUCGUCGCGGCCACGCCGUUAAACCCCAACUUCUGAAUGUUGACCUCGGAUCAGGUAGGAAUACCCGCUGAACUUAAGCAUAUCAAUAAGCGGAGGA